rnacentral:rRNA from 1 species
UACAGAGGGUGCGAGCGUUAAUCGGAAUGACUGGGCGUAAAGCGCGCGUAGGCGGUUUUGUAAGUCGGGUGUGAAAUCCCCAAGCUUAACUUGGGAACUGCAUUCGAGACUGCAUAGCUAGAGUAUGGGAGAGGGAAGUGGAAUUUCAGGUGUAGCGGUGAAAUGCGUAGAUAUCUGAAGGAACAUCAGUGGCGAAAGCGACUUCCUGGACCAAUACUGACGCUCAUGUGCGAAAGCGUGGGGAGCGAACAGG